rnacentral:lncRNA from 1 species
CAAGUAGUACCUUGCAUUUAAGUCUGAUUGGCUGUUACCUGGGAGGCGUCACGUCCGAUUUCCCCGUUUGUUUUGCUAGCGUCGACGGUGGUUGUAGGUAAGCGAGCUGUGUUUAAUGGGUGAUUCUUUUUGGAGUUUUCCUAUGUAUAACUUUUUUAAAUCAUUGUUAUCAACUAGUGCAGCUUUGGUGCGGUGCCCUCCGUGCUGCUUAGUGGGUCUGAUGACUGUUCACCUCACAGGUAACGUUUAUUGUUAAGAGCUCGUGAUAUGGUGCUGAAAUGGCUGUGUGGGUUUAACAUUCUUUCGGAUAUCAAAUAGGCGUGAUUCCCUGUAUUCCCUUGUGUAACCGGUGGGCAUGACUGACCAAUCCGUGUUUAAGCGUGCUUUCUAGCGUGAUCUCAGAUCCUUGAGUGAAAAGAGUUUCGAUGCUUAGACAAAAAUAGUGUACCAAAAGUAAAAAACAAGGUUUACACAAUAUUUCCUACCAGUGUGAUGAACAACUUCCAGAUUCUAUGAAAUGGGAUGGCUCGCCAGUUUCUGCAACCGUGUGUCUCUCUCUCUCUCGAUGGACAGCAGAAACAAUUCUCCCAAACGUCAACAAAACUCCAGAUCCAGAAUCAGCAUUGCUCUCAGGAACAUCAAUAAACAAAGAAGAGAGAGAAAAGAAAAGAAACCAAACAAAAAAAAAAACCAACCAAGGAAAAUAGUGAGUAAACAGAACAAUCCCGGAUGGAAAAAUAAAAAUACUCUACUUUUGGUUUCUCUCGAGUGAAUUAACUUUUUUCUGUUUCCUAUUUUCUUCAGAUCCAGUGCAAUCGCGAUCGUCUAAUGUAAGCACCUACUUUACUGCUAACGAGCACUCUCUUACAGAUCGACUUAACUUAAACAACUUUAAAUCUCUUGUUACAAAAGCUUGUUUUUGUACUAAAUCGCCAUGUCUCCGCUUCUCUACCGUUCUCUUCCCUUUUCUGUUUUUUUUUUUUUUUUGUACGUCAACCUUGAGGGAGGGGGUUACUCUUAAACGGCCAGUUUCUAAUUUUACUUAUUUUUCCUAGACAUUUUCUGUUAUUAACUAUUUCACUUAGUAUAAGUUGAGAAUUCGAUAUAUAAUAUGAAUAUGAAUAAAAUAAUGGGAUGAUAUUAAUAAAAUAGUCUUAUUUUAUUUACAUAUGUAGUAAUAUAUAUUUUUCUCUAUUCACAGGUGCUGGCUCUUGUAACCUGGGUUACAUCAACUCACAUUAAAGCUAUUAGACAUGGAGCUCAGAAAGAAGAAGCCAGCAGAGAGAGCUAGGCUCUGAAUGAGCGACUAUAUGAGUGUUAUAGGUAGACAGAUGGUCGGCUCUCACUCAUGUCUCCUCUUGGCUAUGUCAGCAUGACCUCGGUCCCUCCCCAACUGCUCUACACGAAGGUCACCUGCGCUCAGAACACCUGAACCGGACCUAUGCCACGUCAUCUGCUCAGGCUGUUUAUGCACCUUGAAUGCACUCUCAAUGCUUAUGUAGUUUUAAAGACAUCAUGGAAUCAAAAUGAGUGUUUUAAUCUAGCUUUUAACCCAGAUCAUUUACUGUAUAUACUAACAGAUCCCUAAACAUUGACAAAAUUCACUUGCGU